rnacentral:tRNA from 6 species
AGGCCCGUCGUUCAACGGUAGGACACGACUCUUAUAAAGUCGACACGAAGGUCCGACUCCUUCCGGGCCUA